rnacentral:rRNA from 1 species
CCUACGGGAGGCAGCAGUGGGGAAUUUUGGACAAUGGGGGCAACCCUGAUCCAGCAAUGCCGCGUGUGUGAAGAAGGCCUUCGGGUUGUAAAGCACUUUUGUCAGGAACGAAACGGUGGGGGCUAAUACCUUCUGCUAAUGACGGUACCUGAAGAAUAAGCACCGGCUAACUACGUGCCAGCAGCCGCGGUAAUACGUAGGGUGCGAGCGUUAAUCGGAAUUACUGGGCGUAAAGCGUGCGCAGGCGGUUGUGCAAGACAGAUGUGAAAUCCCCGGGCUCAACCUGGGAAUGGCAUUUGUGACUGCACGGCUAGAGUGUGUCAGAGGGGGGUAGAAUUCCACGUGUAGCAGUGAAAUGCGUAGAUAUGUGGAGGAAUACCGAUGGCGAAGGCAGCCCCCUGGGAUAACACUGACGCUCAGGCACGAAAGCGUGGGGAGCAAACAGGAUUAGAUACCCUGGUAGUCCACGCCCUAAACGAUGUCUACUAGUUGUCGGGUCUUAAUUGACUUGGUAACGCGGCUAACGCGUGAAGUAGACCGCCUGGGGAGUACGGUCACAAGAUUAAAACUCAAAGGAAUUGACGG